rnacentral:lncRNA from 1 species
CGGGAUUUAACUGUUUUGAUUCUGUAGUAAAUGAAGAAAUUUCUACAAUAAAUAAGUGACAGUGAUUUAUAUAUCUUGUUAUCCAGAUCUAUUUUAAAACAAUAAGGCGUGGUCUGUACAUGAUAUCAAAUGACCUGUAUAAUCAUUUGACCUAUCUGUAAGCAAUGCACAAUAUAAAAAUAAUAAUAACAAAAUGUAUGACAAAUUAACACCUGUAUUUUGAAAAACGUUUUUGUUAACAACAAAAAUCAACAUUAUAAGGGGGAUACAAUUUUUUAAAACAAAUUCAAAGAAAUUCCAAAAAAAUUAUGAUGAUUUUUUUUUCUAAAACAUAUCAAAAGCCAGUAAAACACAAGUUAGGCCAGAAUUUAAUUAUUUCUUUAAUAAGAAUUUUGCAAAUUUUUUGGGUUGAGGGACGUUAUGAAAAUAAAAAUGAAAGUGAUAUUUCAGUGGAGUAGAGACCCUAAUCGGGGGGGGGGGGGGGGGGGGGGUGGGGGGUUGAAUCGUUUAGAACAGAGACGGGUAAAACGCGUUCAAAAUGACUAAAUCCCUGCGAUAUUCUGCAACGGCCGUCAAUUUCUGACCAAAUCCCUGCAACGGCCGUUAAUUUCAUCCCCCCUUUUUUUUAAUGAAAAUUAGGUAUAUCUUUUGUGUAACUGAACCUUUCAAAAAAAAUGAAGUGACCAUUCUAUGACAAAUUAUAUAAACAAUUCAAAAUAUUUAACAAGGUACGAAUUAAUUGUUUACGCGUUUUGUGAUGCCUGUUUCAAUAGUUCAAGAACGUAAAUACACAUUCAGGUAAAUUGUUAACAUUAUUAAAACGAUCACCACCUGUCACACAGAGAUUCAAUAAAUGUACAUUUAAUUAUUUUAAAAUGGGUAUACCACUGGUCAUAGAAUGGUCAUUUCAUCUUUUUGAAAGAUUUAGUCACAAAAAAGAUAUACAUCAUUUUCAGUUGGAAAAAAGGGGCAAAUUAACGACCGUCGCAGGGAUUUGGUCAUUUUGAACUCGCUUUACCCGUCUCUGUUCUUAACGAUUCACCACCUGUAAAUGAAAAUAAAAGUUGUGAUGCUCAACCAAUUUAUUUUUUUCAAAUUUUUGAUUGAUUGAUUGAUUGAUUGGUUAGUGUUUAACGCCAACUUUAGCAAUAUUACAGCUAUAUCGUGGCGAGAACAGUUUUUUGUUAUUUAGAAAUUACAUGUGGAUGAAAUAUAAAACACUUUAUAUAAAAUCAAAAAUCUUUGAUAAUUUUUUCUUCAAUUAAAAUUAUAUAAUGUGACAUUUAAAAUUUUUU